UACAGAGGUCUCAAGCGUUGUUCGGAUUCAUUGGGCGUAAAGGGUGCGUAGGUGGCGCUGUAAGUCGGGUGUGAAAUUUCGGAGCUUAACUCCGAAACCGCAUUCGAUACUGCGGUGCUUGAGGACUGGAGAGGAGACUGGAAUUCAUGGUGUAGCAGUGAAAUGCGUAGAGAUCAUGAGGAAGACCAGUGGCGAAGGCGGGUCUCUGGACAGUUCCUGACACUGAGGCACGAAGGCCAGGGGAGCAAACGGG
rnacentral:rRNA from 1 species